rnacentral:piRNA from 1 species
UGUUAUGACUAACUGCUCCCCC